UUUUAUAUUUAUUAUUAAAAUUAAAAUAAUGAAAAAACCCAAUUGAAAGAAUUGGCUCUUCUCUCAAACUGCCCCUCUCAAAUUGAUCUUCUCUAUGAAUAAAAAUCAUCUCUGGCUCUGAAAAUUCUCUCGCCCAAAUCAUAAAUAAUCUGCCAGUUCUUCCAUUUCAAAUGAUUUCUGUCAGACUCUGGCAGAUGAUAGUCAAGACCUGUCACUUAGCCAAGAUCAGAAUGAGAGAAAGAGUUAGACGCGGUUGGUGGUCCGAGUAGGUAUGGGUAUGCUUCUGGCUUGCCACAAGGAACCUUUCGUGAAUUUCAUUCGGAACUAGAAGGCCUCGAUAACACCCUAGAUAAUGAGUCAAGGAAGACGAUUCUGGCUUUGAAGCAACAGACAGUUGAGUUAUCUAAUGAAGCUAAUGAAGCUAAGGCCUCACAGGCAAGGGAUAUAUAGUAUGCGGGAAUUAAGGCCCAAUUCGAUGCAUUACUUGCUUCGGGGGGAUUCCCUCUUGUCCCGGUGAUGCAAUUCGCCCUCAUCGACUGCCUCAGUCUCUAUCUAUUUCACAUGGAAUAUAUGGUCUAUAUAGAGAUAUGACUGGGGAGCCCAGCAGUGAUGAAGAUGAUGAGGAUUAUUAUGUGGACAAUAUACCGCUGCGUUGUUAAUGUUGGGUGUUGUGUUAGAUAAUCUAAACUAUAUACUUUAUGAUGGUUUAUUUGAACUAUUAAGUGUUUUUGAAUGCAUGAAAGCUUUGAAGUAGUCUAGUCAAUAGUACUAUUUUAUAAAUAACUUGACUACUACAUUUCUUCGUUCAAUUUCAAGGUACUCUAAGUUGAUUUUGAUUUAGUGUUCAUUGGAUGAGAUAUUUAGUACUUGUGUUUGUUGUUUGA